UUUUCUUUUAAAAAAAAUAAUAAUAAAAAAUCAGGUGUAUACCACAGCCCACCCACCCACUAACCACAAUCCUUAUUUUAUUCUUUUACCUAUUCCCCAAGUCACAAUCACACCCACACUACAACAAUUGUAGCUUGCCCCCACGCAUGCCCUCCAUUCAUUUUGCCGACUGACUAUCUCGGUUCAAGCAGUUUUCAAGUGAACAGAUCGGAUGUAGGGGUUUCCAGAUGCGACGUUGGCAAGGUGCUGAUGUUGCAGGAAUAAAGGAAGGGAAAUUACUGUUUGGGUGAGGAUGUGAGGACGGGGGCCUCUAGUGGAAUUUGUGAAAUUUCAUAUUGGAGGUCAAUUUGCAAAUUGUGGUUGGUGAUGGUGAUGGUGAAGUAGGGUGGCAUGCGUGGGUUGACAAGCGUUUGUGAUAUAAAAUUUGGGUGAUUGUAACCAAUAAAAUUGAUAAUUUGUG
rnacentral:lncRNA from 1 species